rnacentral:rRNA from 1 species
GACGAACGCUGGCGGCGUGCUUAACACAUGCAAGUCGAACGAUGAAGCUAGAGCUUGCUCUGGUGGAUUAGUGGCGAACGGGUGAGUAACACGUGAGUAACCUGCCCCGAACUCUGGGAUAACUGCUGGAAACGGUAGCUAAUACCGGAUAUGACCAAUGAAGGCAUCUUCUGUUGGUGGAAAGAAUUUCGGUUCGGGAUGGACUCGCGGCCUAUCAGCUUGUUGGUGAGGUAACGGCUCACCAAGGCGACGACGGGUAGCCGGCCUGAGCGGGUGGUCGGCCACACGGGGACAGAGACACGGCCCAGACUCCUACGGGAGGCAGCAGUGGGGAAUAUUGCACAAUGGGCGCAAGCCUGAUGCAGCAACGCCGCGUGAGGGACGACGGCCUUCGGGUUGUAAACCUCUUUUAGUAGGGAAGAAGCGAAAGUGACGGUACCUGCAGAAAAAGCACCGGCUAACUACGUGCCAGCAGCCGCCGUAA